rnacentral:lncRNA from 1 species
GGGCUCGGUUGAACGGACUCACCAGGAAACGUGACUUUCGUGUCCGACCUCUGCUGUAUCAGGAUUCGAUUCUCGGUGUUAAACAAGACAACGCUGAAGGCUCGGUGCAGCAGCCCUGCAAAGGGAAUAUGAGGAGAGAAGCACGAUGGACGCAUGACUCAGCUGACUUUGGCACAGAUGAUACAGAACAAAAAUAACACAGCAGCAGUGAUGGGUUUUUCCAGCGCUCUUGGGAGGUGGGCUGUGCCACUCCCUGUCCCACCUGGCCCACCUGGCCCACCAUUACCUGAAGGGAAGCAUGAACAGCCUUUGACGUGGGAGUGGCAACUGCUGAGAGGGAACCGUCUGUACACAAGCAAUGUAGCCUUAUGGGACCCGAGUGGAGCCCCAACCCACGCAGGGCGUGUCUUCAUGGCUUUUCCUGGCCAAUCUGAUACCAAGAUGCAGUGGCAGAAGUACCUGCACUUCCACUCCUGUCAAGUCUCUGCAUGGCUAUGGUGAGGAAGAGCUCUGCACUGGGCAAGGAAGUUGGCUGUCGAGUGAAGGAAAUGGUGAUGCUGGUGGCCCCUUUCCUGCAGUCAAGUUCCCUAUCAAGGACAUUCAGUUCUCGGAAAGUGGUGAAGGCACACGCUUCCCUGCA